rnacentral:tRNA from 1 species
GGGCCUGCUAAGUGGUCGAGAAAUAACACACAAUGAAAUCAUCAUUCCGGCUUGGAACCGGGGGGGCGGCGGUUCGAAGCCGUCCGGGCGCA